CACUUCCCGUACGAUCACUAAAGUUAAGCAACGUCGAACCUGAUCAGUACCUGGAUAGGUGACCGCAUGUGAAUACGAAGUGUUGUAAG